rnacentral:lncRNA from 1 species
AGAGAUGAAGGAAGGAAGGAGCUUAGGACUCGGCUGGAUCGCGUGAUUUUCUCCCAAGGUUAAUCCAUUUGAGUUUGUAACGUCGCAUAAAGCUAUUUCCGUGGACGUCCGAGCGAGAACGCGCAUAAUUUCUAGCUGUUCGCGGAUAAACGUUUGGCUAGCGGACGAAAAGACUAUUUAUCGUUUGUUUUUACAACUUGUUUUUUUUAACGGCACUCUGUGACAGGUAUCAUUCAGAUUUAUAAGUUAUCAGAAUAUGUAAUAAUUUUCGACAAAACGUAAUUCGGGACGAUGUUGACUGCUUACUUCAUUGAAUGAUCGAAAGAAAUUGUAUUAAUAUUCGAUACUCCAUGAUAUACAACGACGUUGAAAUAUUUCAGAAAAAUAGGUAGAUAGAAAGAGGUCGAUAGAGAGAAAAGACUUCUUGUACUACGUCCCUGGAGAAGUCAAGGAGCGUCGACGCGUUAACGCGACGUACAAAUAACAAUGUGGAGGCCUUGAGAGAGCACCGCGAUCGUGCAAGGCAUCGAAUGUAAAACGUUCACAUAAUGUUAUAACCUUACAUAAUGAUCGGUAGAGUAAUAAUGCUACUGCAAUGUCGCCUUGUCCGUACGUGAUCAUCGAACAUCUUUUGAAAGAUUUGGAUGAUUAGGAUGUAAAAAAGAGAAGAUAAACAAUGUGUAAACGAGCUAUGAUGCUGGGUUAGUCGGCAAUAAGAUGCGUUUCGCGAUGAUGAUAGGCAGUCAAGGUGAUUUUUAAAACAUCAGUAGAACGUGUAUAAAAACGUAUGUAUAUAAAUGUAAAAGUAUUUUCGUAACUCGUCUCUUGAUAUAUGUGAUAUGUGUUAGUUUUUUGUCAAUAUCGAUUAUCCGAUAAAUCAUUUUUCGAAUGAACAACAGUAAAAGAUUGCGUUUAAAUAAAAUUCGAAUGAGAGAUGGUACUCCACGAGUUACCAAAUUAAAUUGUCGUUUGAAUAAAGAAGAAACCAUUGAUUGUUUUGUAUGUACCUAUGAUAUUUACGUACAUGCGUAUGUGCGUAACUAGAUAGAUAUAUUCAGUAAUAUCAAACGAUUGAUAUCGUAAAAAUUCAUCCGAUGGAAUGUUUCUCCACGUGCACGAAAAACCGAAUGAUAUUUUGAGUUGACGAGCAAACACUAGUUUUAUCUGUUCGUGAUCGAGGUUUUCGAUCGGGAGUACACGUGGAUCGCGUCGUGGAUUAUCUGACGUACGAUCGCCCUGGCGCCAUUUAGAAGGUUUUUCUAGGAAAACAGAAAUUAAAAGCCAUAAAGACUGUCGUAUCGAAUUAAAUGCUUAACCAAUAUAAUCGAUUAACCGACACUCGUUUUUUAAUACGAGUCUUAUUUUAAUAUUUUAUUUUAAUAUUUUUCCAAAAGUCUUUUUCAUCGAAAAUACUGCUCUAUUGAAAAAUAAAUCUUACGAAAAUCUUCAAAGAUCUUCUAAGGCCUUACUUAUUCCAAUAUCAUACGUUUUCGUGAUAAAAAUUAUCAAUUUUUAUUAGAUCCAACAUAUAUUUUUAUUACGAAACGAGUGAAACUAAUUUGACCUACUUUCGGAUAGUCGAAUCUUACCCUAAUAGAUUUAACAAAAAACAAAACUCCACCGAUCUAAGUCCUUCUUUGCUUUUUUUAUUUCCUUUCCGAUUAAAUAAGAAUCGUGUGCCUAUUUCUCUCUAUUUAGAAUUAAUUCCAUUUAUGGCUUACAUCCUUUUAGUCAUUUCUCUCUUCUUUCUCUCUCUCGUCUCUCUCUUCGCGUCUCUCUCUUCGCGUCUCUCAUACCUCGAGAACGUCAUCUAUCAAUGAUAAAUUACGUAAGCGAGCGUGUAAGUGCAUUCGCGCUCACAAGAUUAUUCGUCAGAGAUUUUCCUUGUAGUUUUCAUUCUCGCAUUUCCCACCGGCCAUGUUGGCUCCCUAUUGUCUCGUACCGAAAGACGUUCCAUUUGCUACGAGCGCCACGUACAAUCGCCUUCCUUUUUUCCUUCCCUCUUCCACGGCUCUGGUCCCUGCUACCACCAUCGCAAGCACCAACACCAACACCAGCACCAUUUCGAAGAGAAACGCACGUGCGCCUUUCAUUCUUGGAAAGUCGAGGUCCCCGAUUGUGUAUUACAUACUAUAUUUUAUCUUUCAACGUUCUUUCUCUCUGUGUUAGAGUUAGGAAAAGAAAAAAAAAAGAAUAGAAAAAAAAUAAUAUACUACCUUAUCACUUUCCAUUAGAAUUUUAUAAAUGCGUAGUUAAAAAUAGAUAUCAGAUAUACCAAGGUUUCCAAAAACGCGUGUCAGAGUUGUACAAUCUUUCUCGAGCAACCCAACGCUUUUCAGAAUAUGUCGCGUUUCUGGAGGAAGGAUUUGAAAUUAAUGAUUAUAUAAUUCUGUGAAAGCGUGAGGCAAAAGAGAAAGAGAGAGAGAGAGAGAGAGAGAGAGAAAGAGAGAUGAAGAGAAAUAGCUAGCUCGACGCAUAUCUAUGUGUUUAUGUACGUACGGGUUCCUCGGUCGAAAGAAUCUCUUGUUAAGAUAAAACGAGUUACUCCGCAAAUCCGAUCAUUUUAUCUUUCAAUUUUCGAGCUUCUACCAAGCUGAAAGCUACGUAUUUUGAUCAUUUCUUGACCGAAAAAGAAAAUCCAAUGUAAUGCAUGCGUUUUAUGAUACAAGAUUAACCCUUUCGCUACGGGACGGAUCUCCGCCGAGGUACUCCCGCAGUACGGCGCGCUACACCGAAACAGUGCACGGUGCACGCAACGUUUGAGCCGGUGUCGUAAGACUUAUGAUCGAGGCAUUUGGUUUAUUAUUGAAGCCCGUAAAAAACAAAUGAUGCAAAACGAAAGACUCAUGCGGCAUGUUUAGAGUGAGAUACUCUGUGCAUAGCAACUGCAGGCGCUUAUCAUAUAUACAAUUACGCGACAUCUUUAGCGGGAGCGACUAUAGUCGCCCGUAGUACCUGAGCGGCAUCACAUGGAAAGCGACUAUAGUCGCUCGUAGUAGCGAAAGGGUUAAGUAUCA